GGUGGCUUUCAACGAAAACAGGGAUGAGGAUUCUGAAACUUGUUGAGCUGUUCCAAUUGCAGAAGCCUUGGAAGAAAGAAAACCAAGAUGAUGACGAGCAGAGGGGUAGAAAAUACUUAAUCAAAGGACAAGCAAGAAAAAAAUAAUUAAUUCUACAUGAAUAAAAUCAACUAUACCUACUCAUAAUGAAAACAGUAAAUUCCAGAUAAUCGGCAAAGCAAAACUUUCCACAGUAUAUCAUCGCAGGGUGGCUUGCAACGUAAAAAUGGAACGGGAAGAAAAAAAUCGAGGUGAUGACGAUCGGAGGAAAAGGAAAUACUUAAGAAAUGGAUAAUUUGAAAAUUGCGACGAUUAGGAAGAUGAAGAUGUAGAGAAAGUGGGAGAAAAGAAUUAAUUCCACUUGGACAAAAUCAACUACAGCAACUUAAGAUGGAAAACAAUAAAUUCCAGAUUAUCGGCAAAGCAAGAUUUUCCUCUGAAAAUUUUUUCAGGGGACUGGAAAGGAAGAAAAUCAACAUGAUGAUGAUCAGAGGGGAAGGAAUUACGCAAUCAAUGGACACUUCAGAUGAUUUGUGACGAUUACAAAGAUGAAGCGAGAGAAAAGAAGUAAUUCCACUUGGAUAAAAUUAUCU